CACGUAGGGUGCGAGCGUUGUCCGGAAUUAUUGGGCGUAAAGAGCUCGUAGGCGGUGUGUCGCGUCGGCCGUGAAAACCUGCAGCUCAACUGUGGGCUUGCGGUCGAUACGGGCAUCACUGGAGUUCGGCAGGGGAGACUGGAAUUCCUGGUGUAGCGGUGAAAUGCGCAGAUAUCAGGAGGAACACCGGUGGCGAAGGCGGGUCUCUGGGCAGUAACUGACGCUGAGGAGCGAAAGCGUGGGGAGCGAACAGG
rnacentral:rRNA from 1 species